rnacentral:rRNA from 1 species
CGACCGGCGCACGGGUGCGUAACGCGUAUGCAACCUACCUUUAACAGGGGGAUAACACUGAGAAAUUGGUACUAAUACCCCAUAAUAUCAUGGAAGGCAUCUUUUAUGGUUGAAAAUUCCGAUGGUUAGAGAUGGGCAUGCGUUGUAUUAGCUAGUUGGUGGGGUAACGGCUCACCAAGGCGACGAUACAUAGGGGGACUGAGAGGUUAACCCCCCACACUGGUACUGAGACACGGACCAG